GACGCGUGCGUACGUCACUAUGACGUAGAGCUCUCCUCACUUAGCGUGAAAUGAAUGACGCCCAAUAAUAUAUUCUGCGUUUCAUUGUGCAUUCAGAGAUGUUCUUCUGGCGACUUCCACAAGAGUAUAAAACACAGAUUGUGGUUUAAAUAAUGAAACGGUGCACCGGUCGUCUUUUUGAGGUUACAUUUUGCAGACAAAAAGCCUUAUAACGACGAAACGAUGGUUACAGUGGGAGGCAGGCAGCCCAACGCACAAAUACUAAUGUGAAUAUUUCAUCAUUAUAAUGAGAAGUUCUCGAAAUGCGUCGAGCGAAGCAUGAAAAACGAUGUUUUCGGAUGAAGAGAUGGACAGGCAGCUGCCCUCCGCACCUUCGCACGCCGACCGGAUGGAGAUGGAGCUUCUGGUCGGGCGCCUGCCACCUCUCACCACUCACACCAACGCUGACACCCACACGGCCCCUCCUCAGGUCUCAUAGGCCAUACUCCGUACUGAGGGGUGGGGAGGGGGGGGGGGGGGGGAAAACUGUGUGGUGUCGAUAGGUCACAUCGACCACGCAAAUUACAAUCUUUGGAAUAUUAACUGUUCUGACGAGCUGCCAUGUUUAAUUCAGUCUGCCUUUGUACUUCAUGCAGUGUUCAUGUGUAUCGGUCUUUAUGGUAAAAUAUAUGUGUAUAUAGAAAACCAGAGAACUGUUUAUUAUGUAUAUUAUGACCCGUAUCCAGAAUCCCAUACAGUGUUUAGGACAACAUGUUUCAAAAUUUUCAGUUAACAGUUCUAGAAAUUUGUUGGUAGAUUCAUUUGCACCUGCAGUCGUUAUUAUUUUACCCCAUUUUAUUAAAAUCAGUUUAUUAUCAACUUGUUUAGCUUUGAUUCAUUAAUUGGUCUUAUAAUUUUUCUACAGUCUGUGGAAGUUUUAGUUGCUUUACUGUUAAGAGUUUGUCUGAGCCAGUGUUCCUCAUAAUCUGAAAUGCCUAGCUUGAUUGUGUUGAAUUCUGUUUUGCUCAGAAGAAAUUACAAAUUAUGUUACCUAGAAAUCCUUCUUGUCUUGUGGGUUUGUCAUUUACGCAAAAGUUAAGGGAUCUUAAUGUAUUUAGGAAGUGCUCAACCUUUCUGUUCUUAAACCUAAUGUCUAUAUUGAUAUCACCAAAUAUUAGUACUCUGUAGUUUUUGUAUUUGAGUAGGAAGAGUAUCAGUUUCUCCAGAAGUUCUGCAAACAGGUCUUCAUUGUGUUGUGGUGGCAGUAUACUGAAACUCUUAUAAUUUCCUGCUUUGGCAACAUUAUGGCUGCAGCUUCAAAUUUUGUUUAUAUGCACAGUCCACUUACAUCUAUAACUUCAUAGAUUAGGUUCACACAUAUACAGAUACACCACCAUGUUUAAUACUUGUUCUACAGUAGCUGGUUGCCAAUUCAUACCCAAAUGGUACACUUAAUUUAAGUUCAUCAUUGCUAAGCCAGUGUUCAUUUAUUGAAAUAACAGUACAGUUUGAAUUUUCCAGCCAAUACUGAAGUUCACUAAGUUUAUUGUAUGUAUGUGUAACAAAAUUGUAUUGUUAUUAUGAUGCUGUUUGUCAACAUCAGUUGCUCUUUGUUUAUGGUGAAAUUUUACCCCACUUUGACAUGUCUCCUGUGCCUGAAUAAAAUGACUUAGAUUAUGUCUGUUACGAGAUAAAUAAACCACAGUUCACAAUACUAUUAAAUGAAAGCAUAUUUAAUUUGUAACUCCAGUUUUUGUUAGGAAAACAAUACAAUUUAUACUUUGCUUAUAAAUUAAUCAAAUGUAAUUUGCAUUCUUAUUUUACAUAUAUUAUCGGGUUUCAUGCUUCUAAAUUGUUUAUUUCAUAAGCUACCUAUAAGGAAAUAAUGUUCCUAAAUUACACUUCUGACUGUUUAUCUCUGCAUAUUAAUUUUCUGUUGUAAUUUUGUAAAUUUGAAUCUUAAACAAUUCUAUUGAUUGUUCCAAAUGUAUAAAUAGACUUGCAGCAACAUUGUAAUUAUACUGGUUGUAGCCAAUUUUCAAAGACUCAGGACGUAAUCAGUUUGUAAUGCCAGUUGUUUCCUGCUGUAAUAAAAGAAUUCAUUGCAA